GACGAACGCUGGCGGCGUGCUUAACACAUGCAAGUCGAACGGUGAAGCGCCUUCCUUUUUGGUGGGUGUGGAUGAGUGGCGAGCGGGUGAGUAACACGUGAGUAACCUGCCCCCUUCUUCUGGAUAACCGCAUGAAAGUGUGGCUAAUACGGGAUAUUCUGGGUCUGUCGCAUGAUGGGUCUGGGAAAGAUAUUGUUUCGGUGGGGGAUGGGCUCGCGGCCUAUCAGCUUGUUGGUGGGGUGAUGGCCUACCAAGGCGGUGACGGGUAGCCGGCCUGAGAGGGUGGACGGUCACACUGGGACUGAGACACGGCCCAGACUCCUACGGGAGGCAGCAGUGGGGAAUAUUGCACAAUGGGCGCAAGCCUGAUGCAGCGACGCCGCGUGAGGGAUGGAGGCCUUCGGGUUGUGAACCUCUUUCGCCAGUGAAGCAGGCCUGCCUCGUUUGUGGGUGGGUUGACGGUAGCUGGAGAAGAAGCGCCGGCUAACUACGUG
rnacentral:rRNA from 1 species